rnacentral:rRNA from 1 species
UACGUAGGGGCAAGCGUUGUCCGGAUUUAUUGGGCGUAAAGAGCGUGUAGGCGGUCUGGUAGGUCCGUUGUGAAAACUCGAGGCUCAACCUCGAGACGCCGAUGGAAACCAUCAGACUAGAGUCCGGAAGAGGAGAGUGGAAUUCCUGGUGUAGCGGUGAAAUGCGCAGAUAUCAGGAAGAACACCCGUGGCUAAGGCGGCUCUCUAGUACGGUACUGACGCUGAGACGCGAAAGCGUGGGGAGCGAACAGG